rnacentral:tRNA from 1 species
GCCGCGGUGGCGGAAUUGGUAGACGCGCUGGAUUCAAAAUCCAGUGAUGGCAACAUCGUGAGAGUUCAAGUCUCUCUCGCGGCA